UUAAAUUGAAGAGUUUGAUCAUGGCUCAGAUUGAACGCUGGCGGCAGGCCUAACACAUGCAAGUCGAACGGUAACAGGAAGCAGCUUGCUGCUUCGCUGACGAGUGGCGGACGGGUGAGUAAUGUCUGGGAAACUGCCUGAUGGAGGGGGAUAACUACUGGAAACGGUGGCUAAUACCGCAUAACGUCGCAAGAC
rnacentral:rRNA from 2 species